rnacentral:lncRNA from 1 species
CGGAAACCGCCGUGGGGCUGGCGACGAUACUUGUCAGCUUUUAAGGAUGUUUUGCUUUACUUAGGCCUUUAUGCUUGCAUUGGCUCGGUAUAUGGCCCCAAUGGAGCCGCCUUGGUGCAUGUGGCAGGCGUAGAUUGAAUUGUUUAUUCCUUCAAUCGCGACCAUGGCUUUUGGAGCGAAGAGCUCCCUAUUGGUUAUCUUAGCGGUUGCUUCAUGGGCUCGGAUUAUGAAUACGGGUGGGUGUCUGCUAGUCAUGCACUGGUCCACGCACUUACUUGCAGCCAAUUGGCUGGCGUCAUGCAUGGCAUCAAGCAAGCAUAACGUUAUUUCAAGGCUUAGACGUGCUUGCUCCACGCAAUACUGCAAGGUGGUAGGGAUGGAUUACUCAGCCUGCUUGAACGCGCACGGAACAGGAAUGGGAAGGAUAGCCACGAAUACUGAGGCCGAUGCUAGUAUCCAGUAGGCACGAAGUAGCUGAGGCAGUUUGUUUAAGAACAACUCCGAGAGCAACAAGGUCGCGUCGUGCAAGCUUACCGACAUUAUACAUAUAAAACUUUGCAUGCAUGUGCAGCAGGUUUAUCGCUGGCAGUGGCCGCUGCUGCUGCUGGAAACGACAGCAGCCACCACUUGCGGCGCUCUUUGGGGGAGACAACAAGUUCCAACAUGUCGACACUUGCUGCCGUCACCAGUAAGUUCCUUUACUUCCUUCACGCCUGCUAUGUAUGUGUUUGCUCUUGGCCAUGCGGGAAGCAAGAUAAGGUAUAACAAUUUGGGACUUACUUAUGAUGAAUAGGGUGAUUUGCUGGUGGUCAAAUCAAAAAAGUCAAAUCCUAUUCCAACAGAUCGUCCGAAAGGAUCUAUUGUCAGUGAAUGAUCAAAGCCCAACCAUACACGUGGGGCAAACAUGCACCAAUCCUUGCCGAUCGGGCCCAUGAGUUUUCGAAGCCAGACCGUGCAAACUGGACUGCUGAUCAGAGACAUGCCUCCGUCUGCAAAUUUCUGCUACUUGGUAACCCUUCGAACAAAAGGGGGCUCUGGCACCGAGGGCACAAAAAUGCUGAUCGCCCAUAUGUAUUCGUCCCAGCUGCCAAUGGCAUUUCCAACUUCCAGUACUACUGGUCUCAAUAAGCAAGAGCGUGUGGUGGAUUUUUAAUAUUGGGACUGGGAUUAUGUUGCCGGUAUGAAUUGUAUGUGUACAGCGAACGAACGUUCUGACUUAAACUUGGCUUAAACUGGCCACACAGUGUCUUAGCCAUGCAUGCAUGUGUGCAGCAUACGUGAAGCUUACUGUAGGAAUCUGGACAACCUAAGCGUGAUAACAACAAACACUGAAGUUGAAUGACAAUCAAUUGAGUUGCAUGCAUAUGUGUCUUAUGCACGGGCGGGAUGGCCAAGCACGGGACUGCAUAUUGCUGAUCGAUCGGAUCACAUCGGAUGUGAUGAUGUGCACGAAUGCAUUGAUGGAUGCAAUCACCUCAUACGUAUUUGGGUAUCGACCAACCAAUACGUAUGGUUGUGUGAAGUAGGGGGGUUUAGCUUCACCCGUGGCCACUAGCUUGGCAGUCCCUGCCUUCCCCCAUGUUUCGGGGCACCCUUAACCUUUCACCCAUGCCGGCUUCUGCGAAGUCUGUGAAUAAUCAACAACAAUGACAAUGACAACCGACUGCCAAAGGGACCAGGCAAGCAUGAUUAGCACCAGAAAAAAAACCUAUGUCCAGAAAGUCAGAAAAAUACCCAGGAUACAACAACUAUUCCCCCCUCCGGAUGCAGCGUCCCCGCUGCAUGGAAAGAGCAGACUUAGCACAGACAGGCACCAGGGAUGCGGGACACAAAGCAAUUACCUGCCCCGCGAGCCUACCUUGGCCUGGGCCUGUUGCUUAGCCUCUUCCAGCAGGGGUUUCAUAUCAGGGGUAAAGUUGUGUAUAGGUUCCCAGGAGUUGUGCUCAGAUGAAUACCCGACCCAUUUGACCAGGUAUUCAUGCACAGUGUGCUUGCGUCGGCCGUUGCCUACCCGGUGUGUGUGUGUGUGUGUGUGUGUGUGUGUGUGACCAGGUAUUCAUGCACAGUGUGCUUGCGUCGGCCGUUGCCUACCCGGCGUGCACGAUAAUCCAGAAUGCGUUCAACAGCAUAAAAAGUCUGCUUGCCAGAUAGCCAAGUGACCGGACCAGGCUCUACAACAGACGGAGUGGUGUCAGGCUCAGAUGUGGCAACAGAAGCAGCUUUGUGGUACGGACGGACCAAGGACACAUGGAACGUGUGAUGGAUGCGCAUGUCUGAAGGCAGUUUCAGCUCUACAGCAGCCGAACCGACCAUGUUUACGACAGAGUACGGACCCACCCAGUGAGGUAGCAUCUUACGUGAACCAUCAGCCAAAGAGCGCAGAUUCUUGGUGCUGAGCAUGACCAACUGCCCUUUGGUGAAGGCGACAUCCCUCCUGGCCUUGUUGUAAUAGUCAGCCGUCCGUUGCUGCGCAGCUUCAAGGCAAGCUUUAGCAUCAGUCGUACAGGAUACAAAUGACUUAACGAACGUCUUCACAGCAGGCACGUUGACGUCCAGUUCCCGCCAGAUCGGUAAAGCAGGGUUAAAGCCAUAGUUAAGGAAAAACGGACUUUUCCCAGUCGAACGGUUGGCAGCAUUGUUGAUUGCAAAUUCCGCAGCCGUCAGAUAGGUAUCCCAAACAGCAGGUGUACGACCGGCAUAAUUAGGCAGCAUGUCAGCCAGGGUACGGUUUGUACGCUCAGUCUGGCCGUCAGUCUGUGCGUGGUAGGCGGUGGACAGAUUAACCCGCAUGCCUACCAACUGGCCCAGGGCGCCCCAAAACGUACGCGCGAACUGUGAACCGCGAUCAGUAAUAACGCUUUUGGGAACGCCAUGCAAACGCACUACGUUAUCGAAAAACAGACGUGCAGUUUGCUCGGCCAUGCAGGAUGACGUGCAAGGUGCCAAGUGUACCAUCUUAGUCAGACGGUUAACCAUGACUAGCACAGCGUCAAAUCCCCCCUCUGUUUUGGGCAGCGCAACUAUGAAAUCCAUGGAAACGCUUUCCCAGGGAGCGUUCGGAACAGGUAAAGGCUGCAGAAGCCCGUGAGGCUUACCAGAUUGAGCCUUGUUGCGCUGGCACAGAUCACAGGACAGAACGUAAUUCUCCGCAUCUUUAGCCAUGCGUGGCCACCAGAACUGCCGACGAAGAAUUUCGACCAGCCGCGUGCAGGCAGGAUGCCCAGCCAAUGGGUCGUCAGGGAAGCGAGACAGAAGCUCACGAUGCAAAGAAUCAUAAUUCGGAAUGACGAUUUGCCUGUAAGACCCCUCAGAACGGAUCCAGAGACGAUGCUGUAAAGACAAAUGGCCGGUAUUGUUAGCAUCAGUAAACCAAGGAUCCGUGGCGUAGGCUUGCUUCAAGCGCUCAGUGAAAACCGAGUGCACAAUCGGCUGUGCAGCUGCGGAUCGGCGUGUAGCAACAUACAGAAUGGCUGCAUGCAGGGAUGGGUGCCGACUGAGUGCAUCAGCGAUGUUAAGGGAACCAGACAGAUAUUCCCACGUGAAAUCGAACCGGGCCAGGAAUUCCAUCCAAUGCGCCUGCCGGUGAUUCAGCGAUGGCACACCUUGCAGAAACGUAAGGGGUUUAUGAUCCGUUUUAAGAGUGAAUGGGCGACCCUCUAGAUAGCACCACCACUCUUUAAGCGCAUGAAGAACAGCUAGCAGUUCCUGUUCCCCAGUUGUGUAGCGAGUCUCAGCCCCGGAAAACUUUUUACUGGUGAAGGCGACUGGC